ACAAGUGUUAAAGUUUGUAGCUGACAAUUUCUGACUGGGGAGUCACUCCGGAAGAACUAUAUAGAUAAUUGACUUCCUUAGUUGCUCAUAUCUUGCUAUCAGUUAAGCAGCUGAUGUUUCUUGGAGCUAUUUUAUGCUAUGGCCUGGAAACGAAGGCAUUCUCAUUCAAGACAGCAGGGGCCAACGGCACCAGUGGGACAGCUCCAGGGAGACCCAUGGAGGCUCCAAGGAACAAGUCAGCAGCAAAGGCUGGUGACAGGUGAUGGCCUUUGUGUCGAAGACUCGUCUCAUUGGAAUGAACAAAGACAGGUGUCCCUUUCCCUGCCCUACCUGUGAUGGAGUUCCAAGUUCUGAGUUACAAGGUGGCAGCAGAGGAUCCCUGAGACAGCACAGCCACCAAGAGCAGAGUGUGGGCUGGAGUCAGGGAGGACUACAACACCAGCUUGUUUGUUGAAUGCAGACUUCAGUAAAUUGGCCGCAUAGACAUCUCGUGUCCACUAUGGUGCUGUCUGUGGAGGCUUGGGGAAGACUCAAGACAGCUUUUCAGCAUUUAAAUGAGGAGCCAAGCGGAAGGUAGGAGAGUGCACAGAAGGUAAGCUAAGCCUUCCACACACAGCCAAGAUCUCUGACAGAGCAAAAGCAAGGCGUCAACCACAGACCCAUCCAGCUUUCCCAAUACAAUGUGUAACAAUGAAGUAACAGUGAGUUAGGGGACUUGAUGCCAAUGAGCAGCUUCGACAGCGGGCAGGUGACAGGGAGAAGGCUCUUCAUGGAGUCAACUUAGAAACAAGGGCUAGCUUUUCUCCUCCUCCUCCUGCCUGUGGAACUGUGCUCUGCAGACAUCUCAGACUCUCCAACACUUCCAGGGAUCAAAUGACUGUCCUGCUGAAGGAUUAAGGGCCAUCCUAUCCCCUUGGCUUGGACAUUGGAAUUUUCAUCAAAAUGACUUUGGGUGUGUUGAGCAGGGAAUUGGGCAACAAGGAUUAAGUUUUAAACAGUUUACCUGGAGAACCGACCAGAGGGCCCCCUGGGGAAAGGCUUCCUUCCAGACCUCCAGCAGAGUCAUAAGCUUCUUCAAGCUUCUCUCACAUGGGAUUAACCUCUAGGGAGACACUAAGCAAGGACUUCAGGGGUCUUAGGUAGGCAGAAUGGGGGAAAAUAAGAUAAAACAUUCUCUUGCCAGCCAGAUUAUUGCCUCUUCCAAGACUCUGUCUGCUGGACAUGGAGCUCUCUUCUCCCUCCUCAUUGGCCAUCCUCGAAGGAAGGGGCAGUGUCCCCUCUGUGCUGUGUGAUUUUACUUUUCUUUUAAAAAGCAGGCUAUCCCAGAACUAAGUAGAGAAGGAUGGCUUUGCAUGCCUGACCCUCCUGCCUCUGCCUUCCAAGUAUAUGAUCAAUCAUUUUAAGGAGCUUCAUCCAUACACAGAGACAAGGCUGCUCUUACAGGGAGGCUGAAGGCCGCAGCCUAACUCAGAUGUGCCUUCCAGCAAACCUGAGGGGGGCAGCAGCCUUGAACGUUCAUGGGUACCCAAACUCUGACAACUAAUAUAAAUGUGAGGAGAACAGGUUUCUGAGAUUGGAUAGA